GCCGCCACCAUCCAAUUCCACUUCAUCCGCCUCGCCUCGCAAACCCUAGAGUUGCCCUAGCCCGCUUCGCCGGCGGCCGCCAUCGCGGUGCGCGACAAGCCCCGAGGAAGGAUUGGCCAGACCAGGGUCAGGCGCUACCGGCCCGGGAAGGCCCCCGAGUGGGCCGACGAUCCGAGCCCGGCGGCGACGGCCUCGACCUCCCCGCCUGCCGCGCCGCCCUCCACCAGGUCCUCUCGCGCCACGACGACGGCAUCGUCGUCGGCGUCAGCGGGGACGACCGCCGCCUCUCGGAGAUGCGCGCCGUGAAUCGGGAGGAGGCCCGCGCCGACCAGCGCCGCGUCGUCCGUCAGGCGGAGGUCGCGUCCACGGCCGAGGAGCGUUAUGGGGAGGACGAGGAGGCGCCGGAUCCGGGAGCGGCUGCUGCUGCUGGAGCGGGAGAAGGAGGAGCUACCGGCGCAGCAGCAGGAGGAGAAGCUGGUGGCUGCAGAUGUCUCCGGGGACGAAUCUGAGUACGGGAUCGACUCGCUUUGCUGAAGCCGAUCUUCAUACAUAAGACACAGCGGGUCACAAUCACGGAGAGGAAGCGGAUAGAAGAUGUUGCUCGGCAACUCGAGGAGGUUCUCAUGAAGAGGAUAAAGAAGCGGAAGAUUGAGACGAGGCAGAUUGUGGUGGAGGAGACUAGGAAUGAGUUGCGGAUUAAUAAGAUUAUUAAGAGCGAAGAGUCUGAUAUUGAAAUUGAAGUUAAUACAGAUGAUGAGGAGAAUAAGGCGGAGGAGUAUGAGGCAUGGACGAAUCGGGAGAUUGCGAGAACUAAGAGGGAUAAAGAGGAAAGAGAGGCAAUGUUGAGGCCUUGAGGGAGAGGGCGAAGAUUCAGAAGGUUAGGAACAUGACAGAGGAGUGCAGGGAAUGGGUGAGGAUGAAUGUAAAGUUGCUUGAACAGUUGAAGUAGAAGCAGAGGUUCAUGCAAAAAUAUUACCAGAAGGGUGCCUUCUUCCUGGAGAAAGCUGAUGAUGUCAUUCAAAUAAUUUGGUUCAGAUGAUAUAUAAAGUGUGAUUUCUCUACACCCACUGGAGAAGACAUGAUGGACAAAACCAUCUUGCCAAAGGUUAUGCAAGUGAAGCGCUUUGGAUUCAAGGGUAGAAUGAAGUGGACAGAUCUUGUUAAUGAGGAUACUACAGAUUGGAAUAACCCGUUGACAACAAAUGGACCUUUGAUCGAAGUAUUGCAAAAAUGGUUGGAAUGAAUGCAUAUUGCCAUAUCAAAAAGGAAGCAAAAAGACCUAGUGGUAAAUAUUCUGGACUUGGUACUCUGCAUUUCAAAUUCCAUGGGAUGUACUCGACAUUAAUGAACAUUAGCUGUAUGUAUGAGUUUUCAGUCAAAUAUGUUCCUGUGGAAAAAGGAUUACAAAAUAAACUUGGACGCAGAAUCCUUAGGCACUACUGAAGUGGUUCCUUUUCGUGUUUUGCCACAAUGUUAGUUAGAACUGAAAUUUUAAUCCUCCAUGUGUAAAUUGAAAUUUUUGGAUGCAAUAGCUAAAUAUUGAAUAUUGUCAUGUCAGUUAUGAGGAUUACUAUUUCUUUCCUGUCAAUCUGAAAAGAGUUUAGGAGUUUAGCUGAAUGUUUGUUCUGUGUCAGCAUGGAUUAGUUAUGCAGAUUGAUGCGGAUAUUUCACUGUUAUGAUAUAAACUGAAAUUUUAUCCUCCAGUAUAAACUGAACUCUGUUGAUGCAAUAGCUAGAUUUUGAAUAUUUCUAUUGUCAGUUAUAAGGAUUCCUGUCGUCCUUAUCAGUCUUAUAAGGACUAUUAGGAGAUUACCUGAGUGGCAUACUUUAAUAUAAUAGGCAGACUGAUGGGAUAUAUCAAAUGAGAGAUUCUGCCAUUUUAUCUCUGAGAUUAUUAUUUACUGAUAACUGCAAGUUAGGAAAUGUUUGAUGUGAUCCUCACGAGACAUGAUGCUCCAGAAUGUGUAUCAAAGAAGCAGCAGAACAAGUACAGGUUUCUCCGUUUCUGAAAUGCUAGAUGAGUCAUACUGUUGGGCAAAUGCCUGACAGUAUUUCCCAUAAAAAAAAUGCUAGAUUAGUCUGCAGGUUUCUGAAAAAGUUGUAGGUUUUCCUAUCUGUUCUUUCCAUAGUGUAGUACAACCCCUCACAAGUUAAAAUAUGGUUUUAGCAUAUAUUUACAUCUUAACUGUCAUGAAUCAGUAUUGUCAUCGGUAGGUUGAGUUAUUUGUUUCAUGUUUGCCAAGGAUGCAGCUUGUUUCCUAAUGGCACGAGCGAGCUGGAUUGUAGUACUGCAAGGAUCGAAGCUUGUUUCCUACUGGCAAGAAGCAUGGCUACUAAUGUUGUGAUCUAUAUAUAUGCAUUUUUCAGCUGUUACGAAGUCUGCAUUUCACGUUUGAUGUACGACUGGGAGUUAUUAUCAGUGAUUGUUUCAUCAGCACUGCAUUGUGAUGCUUUCUGAAUAUAGUACUCUUAAUAGC